CCAUCAAAAUUGGUCUUUAACCAAGAAGCUGUAAGGUUCUUUCUCAGGUUAUUUAAUAGUUUCUCUACAGGGCAGUUUGUACCCUUUAUCGAACAGGAGAACGGCAAUUAAACUAAUUAUUAAUCUAAGGCUGUUAGAGGCCUUUGCUAGUGAUUGCCUUAUUGACUUUAUCACUUCUGUUCUACCUGAGUCACUGAAUAACAGGAUCCUCGAGGUCUUGGUUGAUGUGAUGGUGCCGAUGGUCCUCUUCCCCAGGACUGCAGAGGAGGCCACAACACCAGACUCUGCCACCCUGCUCAGAGGAUGCCAGCUGGACCAGUGCAGUCUCAGCCAUCUGGAGAAAGAAGAUCAAUGACCAACUGUACUCCACCAAAUGGGUCACUUCUGAUGUUUUGCUCCAAACAGAAGAGGAAUGUUCCAGAGAGAGGAGAAAAUAUAAUUCCUUACGACAGAGAUUCAGCCUGAUUUGGCAUUGGAAUAAUGCUACAAUGAUAGACUAUGAGCAGUUUGCAAGACUUUAUAACAAGCUGGUCCAGUGCCAGCCUGCAAUGAGGGUCUGGAUGGUUGCUAACCAAGAUAACGUCAAGUCCCUUUGACAAAUAUUCCCAUUGGGCAUUGUAUUGUGCAGUUACAGAAUAAGAAUUCAAUUGAUAGACCUUCAGUCUUCAUCAGCCGAAUGCUGCAAUGAAUGACAAUAACUGUUCAUGCAGAUGAUAUUCUAGUUGGCUGAGCAUCAUUUGUCUACUCAUGGGAAUGAGCGUCAAUUUUUCUUUUAUGAAUAUGAGCAGUGAGGAGCAGAUAUAGGCCAUUCAGUUCCUUAAGCCUGUAUCACAAUUCUGUUACAUCACAACUGAUCUUUACCUUAGCCUAAUUUACUUGUCUAUGUUCUAUAUCCUUUGAUACCAUUUAUUUUAAAGCCAAUUAGUUUUAUUACUGUAUAAAUCAGAUCCCAGAUUGAAAUCUGGCUUGAAAGAUCAUGUUUUGUUUUGAUAUGUCUUGUUUUUAUAAAAUGACCUCUUACUGAGACAGAAGCAUGCACUAUUCCAGAUUUUGUUUAAACAAUA